AGCGUACACGGUGGAUGCCCUGGCAGUCAGAGGCGAUGAAGGACGUGCUAAUCUGCGAUAAGCGUCGGUGAGGUGAUAUGAACCGUUAUAACCGGCGAUUUCCGAAUGGGGAAACCCAGUGUGAUUCGUCACACUAUCAUUAACUGAAUCCAUAGGUUAAUGAGGCGAACCGGGGGAACUGAAACAUCUAAGUACCCCGAGGAAAAGAAAUCAACCGAGAUUCCCCCAGUAGCGGCGAGCGAACGGGGAGGAGCCCAGAGCCUGAAUCAGUGUGUGUGUUAGUGGAAGCGUCUGGAAAGGCGUGCGAUACAGGGUGACAGCCCCGUACACAAAAAUGCACAUAUUGUGAGCUCGAUGAGUAGGGCGGGACACGUGGUAUCCUGUCUGAAUAUGGGGGGACCAUCCUCCAAGGCUAAAUACUCCUGACUGACCGAUAGUGAACCAGUACCGUGAGGGAAAGGCGAAAAGAACCCCGGCGAGGGGAGUGAAAAAGAACCUGAAACCGUGUACGUACAAGCAGUGGGAGCCUCUUAAUGGGGUGACUGCGUACCUUUUGUAUAAUGGGUCAGCGACUUAUAUUCUGUAGCAAGGUUAACCGAAUAGGGGAGCCGAAGGGAAACCGAGUCUUAACUGGGCGUUAAGUUGCAGGGUAUAGACCCGAAACCCGGUGAUCUAGCCAUGGGCAGGUUGAAGGUUGGGUAACACUAACUGGAGGACCGAACCGACUAAUGUUGAAAAAUUAGCGGAUGACUUGUGGCUGGGGGUGAAAGGCCAAUCAAACCGGGAGAUAGCUGGUUCUCCCCGAAAGCUAUUUAGGUAGCGCCUCGUGAAUUCAUCUCCGGGGGUAGAGCACUGUUUCGGCAAGGGGGUCAUCCCGACUUACCAACCCGAUGCAAACUGCGAAUACCGGAGAAUGUUAUCACGGGAGACACACGGCGGGUGCUAACGUCCGUCGUGAAGAGGGAAACAACCCAGACCGCCAGCUAAGGUCCCAAAGUCAUGGUUAAGUGGGAAACGAUGUGGGAAGGCCCAGACAGCCAGGAUGUUGGCUUAGAAGCAGCCAUCAUUUAAAGAAAGCGUAAUAGCUCACUGGUCGAGUCGGCCUGCGCGGAAGAUGUAACGGGGCUAAACCAUGCACCGAAGCUGCGGCAGCGACACUAUGUGUUGUUGGGUAGGGGAGCGUUCUGUAAGCCUGUGAAGGUGGCCUGUGAGGGUUGCUGGAGGUAUCAGAAGUGCGAAUGCUGACAUAAGUAACGAUAAAGCGGGUGAAAAGCCCGCUCGCCGGAAGACCAAGGGUUCCUGUCCAACGUUAAUCGGGGCAGGGUGAGUCGACCCCUAAGGCGAGGCCGAAAGGCGUAGUCGAUGGGAAACAGGUUAAUAUUCCUGUACUUGGUGUUACUGCGAAGGGGGGACGGAGAAGGCUAUGUUGGCCGGGCGACGGUUGUCCCGGUUUAAGCGUGUAGGCUGGUUUUCCAGGCAAAUCCGGAAAAUCAAGGCUGAGGCGUGAUGACGAGGCACUACGGUGCUGAAGCGACAAAUGCCCUGCUUCCAGGAAAAGCCUCUAAGCAUCAGGUAACAUCAAAUCGUACCCCAAACCGACACAGGUGGUCAGGUAGAGAAUACCAAGGCGCUUGAGAGAACUCGGGUGAAGGAACUAGGCAAAAUGGUGCCGUAACUUCGGGAGAAGGCACGCUGAUAUGUAGGUGAAGCGACUUGCUCGUGGAGCUGAAAUCAGUCGAAGAUACCAGCUGGCUGCAACUGUUUAUUAAAAACACAGCACUGUGCAAACACGAAAGUGGACGUAUACGGUGUGACGCCUGCCCGGUGCCGGAAGGUUAAUUGAUGGGGUUAGCGGUAACGCGAAGCUCUUGAUCGAAGCCCCGGUAAACGGCGGCCGUAACUAUAACGGUCCUAAGGUAGCGAAAUUCCUUGUCGGGUAAGUUCCGACCUGCACGAAUGGCGUAAUGAUGGCCAGGCUGUCUCCACCCGAGACUCAGUGAAAUUGAACUCGCUGUGAAGAUGCAGUGUACCCGCGGCAAGACGGAAAGACCCCGUGAACCUUUACUAUAGCUUGACACUGAACAUUGAGCCUUGAUGUGUAGGAUAGGUGGGAGGCUUUGAAGUGUGGACGCCAGUCUGCAUGGAGCCGACCUUGAAAUACCACCCUUUAAUGUUUGAUGUUCUAACGUGGGCCCCUUACCGGGGUUGCGGACAGUGUCUGGUGGGUAGUUUGACUGGGGCGGUCUCCUCCUAAAGAGUAACGGAGGAGCACGAAGGUUGGCUAAUCCUGGUCGGACAUCAGGAGGUUAGUGCAAUGGCAUAAGCCAGCUUGACUGCGAGCGUGACGGCGCGAGCAGGUGCGAAAGCAGGUCAUAGUGAUCCGGUGGUUCUGAAUGGAAGGGCCAUCGCUCAACGGAUAAAAGGUACUCCGGGGAUAACAGGCUGAUACCGCCCAAGAGUUCAUAUCGACGGCGGUGUUUGGCACCUCGAUGUCGGCUCAUCACAUCCUGGGGCUGAAGUAGGUCCCAAGGGUAUGGCUGUUCGCCAUUUAAAGUGGUACGCGAGCUGGGUUUAGAACGUCGUGAGACAGUUCGGUCCCUAUCUGCCGUGGGCGCUGGAGAACUGAGGGGGGCUGCUCCUAGUACGAGAGGACCGGAGUGGACGCAUCACUGGUGUUCGGGUUGUCAUGCCAAUGGCACUGCCCGGUAGCUAAAUGCGGAAGAGAUAAGUGCUGAAAGCAUCUAAGCACGAAACUUGCCCCGAGAUGAGUUCUCCCUGACUCCUUGA
rnacentral:rRNA from 1 species